rnacentral:lncRNA from 1 species
AGUCAGUAUGACUCUCUCUCCUCUCUCUCGAACCUUCUCCACUGAAAUGGACUCGGUCUUAUCUUGAGAGAGAUCUCUGUUUGCUCCACCUCGCAAACGUCGCUCCGAUUGAAGAAGAUCUCGCCAGCUCCACCUCGAUAGCGUCGCAUCUUCUCCUCUCCAUUCUUCCCUCGAAGUCUCUUCGUCGAGCGGCGACUUACUUCUCUGAUGAUGGCUCACCCGAUCGUGACUCCAUCAUCUUUCCUCCCUAAUAUCCCCAGGUACUUCUCAUCUCUCCUUUUCAUGAGCGAUUAGGAUCAUCUGUUAGGGAUACUAAACGAGUCUUGUAGGUCUUGAGCUAACCCGUGAUUUUUUUUUUUCUUUUUUUUUUCUUUGCAUGUCGUCUCAGGUGGCUCGCGGCUCUGUCUCUAGACGCGAUUGAGAACCUGACAUGUCGGUGAGCUCUUACCUGAGCUCUAUCAUCACACUCCACCCCUUUUGUAGAUAAAGUAACCUCCUUUCUCAGCGACCCUUCUCUAAUAUGCUCUUCACUUGUCAAUCUGACUCUUCUGUUCUGUUUCAGGAGCCGGUUUUAGCUCAAUGACGAGCUCACCUAGUUUCAGUCUUGAAACCCUUCCUUGAUCGGA